GUUCAUAUCUAGUUAAAAAUCGAGUUCAUAUCUAGUUAAAACAGUAUAAUAUCUAGUUAACCAGUCAAUCUAGUUAACCUAGUUAGCCUGGCUAAUAUCGAGUUAACCUAGUUCAAUCUAGUUAAACCCUAGUUAACAAUGUAGUUCAUAUCUAGUUGAAACUAGUUAAUAUCUAGUUUUAAUUUUUAACAUAAAUCCAAUUCCCUCUUCAUAAUGCUGAAACACAGCUGUUUCCUGCCCUAUGUCGUCUCUGUUGUCUUUAUCUCAUAAUGGUCCUCCUCUGUUUUCCUGCCUCAUGUCCUCUGUUAUGUCUUAACUCAUAAUGUCCUCCCCUGUUUCCUGCCCCUAUGUCCUCUGUUAUGUCUUUAUCUCAUAAUGUCCUCCUGUUUCCUGCCCAUAUGUCCUCUGUUAUGUCUUUAUCUCAUAAUGUCCUCCUGUUUCCUGCCCCUAUGUCCUCUGUUAUGUCUUUAUCUCAUAAGUCCUCCUGUUUCCUGCCCCUAUGUCCUCUGUUAUGUCUUUAUCUCACAAUGUCCUCUUCUGUCCUGCCUCUUGCCUUUGUUAUGUCUUAUCUCAUAGUCCGCCUCUGUUUCCUCCCACCAAGUCCUACUUCUCCAGCAGUUCGGUGACUGAUACCAUCACCUCUGUUCCUAUUGUUGAAGACAUGAUACCUGUCUCACAUUUCUCAACAAGUCACUGGAGGGCAUUCCCUUCAUUCUCAAUGUGCUGCUCAGUGGUUUGUUUCCCCGACAAUCCCCACAGGUGACUCCAGACUCUCUUACACAGAACAUCAAUAGAGAAAGAGUAUCUUUGUGAAUGAUUCAUCCACUUGUAUGACCAGGAGGAGAGUGUGGUCCUGGACACAGAGACACACUGAGCACCAUUCCUGUUGAACCACUCAGCAGUUAACAUUACAGGAAGAUUAUCCACCAGCCUGGAGUGUCUCUGUCAGGGUAGCCUAGUUGGUUAGAGCGUAGAGGCGGCAGGGUAGCCUAGUGGUUAGAGCGUAGAGGCUGGCAGGGUAGCCUAGUGGUUAGAGCGUAGAGGCGGCAGGGUAGCCUAGUGGUUAGAGAGCGUAGGAGGCGGCAGGGUAGCCUAUGUUUAGAGCGUAGAGGCGGCAGGGUAGCCUAGUGGUUAGAGCGUAGAGGCGGCAGGGUAGGCCUAUGUGGUUAGAGCGUAGGGGCGGCAGGGUAGCCUAGUGGUUAGAGCGUAGAGCGGCAGGGUAGCCUAGUGGUUAGAGCGUAAGAGGCGGCAGGGUACCUAGUGGUUAGAGCGUAGAGGCGGCAGGGUAGGCCUAGUGGUUAGAGCGUAGAGGCGGCAGGGUAGCCUAGUGGUUAGAGCGUAGAGGCGGCAGGGUAGCCUAGUGGUUAGAGCGUAGAGGCGGCAGGGUAGCCUAGUGGUUUAGAGCGUAAGAGCGGCAGGUAGCCUAGUGGUUAGAGCGUAGAGGCGGCAGGGUAGCCUAGUGGUUAGAGCGUAGAGGCGGCAGGGUAGCCUAGUGGUUAGAGCCGUAGAGGCGGCAGGGUAGCCUAGUGGUUAGAGCGUAGAGGCGGCAGGGUAGCCUAGUGGUUAGAGCGUAGAGGCGGCAGGGUAGCCUAGUGGUUAUAGAGUGUGGAGGCGGCAGGGUAGCCUAGUGGUUAGAGUGUUGGACUAGUAACCGAAAGGUUGCAAGUUCGAAUCCCCGAGGUGACAAGGUACAAAUCUGUCAUUCUGCCCCUGAACAGGCAGUUAACCCACUGUUUCCUAGGCCGUCAUUGAAAAUAAGAAUUUGUUCUUAACUGACUUGCCUAGUAAAAUAAAGAUAAAAUAAUGAACUUCUCCUGUCUCUUCACACACUGAGCAGCUGUCCUCAGGUCAAACUCCUCUCUGGUCAGGAUGACGUUUCCUGCUGAACUCUUUGCCCAAGUCGAUAUCUUCCCCCUGCAUCACAAUAAUCUUCAGCUUCUGAGAAAUGGAAGGAGUCACCUGUAAUUUUUUGAAUACAAACAUCUAAUAACCCGAAGCACAAUAAAUAAGUGUUCAUCCCCUCUGUCAGAAACAUUUCAGUCUCAAUGCAGCAAUAUACAUCUGUUGCCUUUGUCUGCCAUCACUAUAAACUUUUCAAUGCAUUUGUAAAUAUAUAAAUCAAUUAAUCACAUGCACAUGAAUAAUUAUUUAAUUACAUGUACAUAAAUAAUGUGUUUUUGUUUUGUUUUCAAUAUACUGCAUCAUUCACAUACCUCGGUAGUAAAUAGUAAGUAUAUACAUUUGAAAGAAUGUGUGAGUACUCAUGAAAAUCAUUUAGAGUACUCGACAACGUGAAAAGGGGUUCUGAAGGCAACAGCAACAAAAAUUGUCCGAUGUUCCAAUUACUGUCAUAUUUUCACAGCUCUUGACCUUCCUUCUCCACAUAAACACAUCAGAUUUCUCAGUGCUUAUAAUUUGAACCUGCUAAUAACUAAAGUACAUUUUGAGAGCUUGUAUAUAAGAAAUCGAAUGUUAAUCUUGAAUCGACUACUCACGCCCAUCCCUAGUAAAUAGAGUCAAAGCCAGUUUUACUUGAAUCCAGGAUUAUUGUAGGUAAAUAACAGAUUAUCAUUUAUAGAAAUGACCUAAUUUUGUGUUUAAUCCACUGGAAGCAAUUCUUAUUUACUCAGUCUUUCUCUCUCCACCUCCAGCCUGGAACACUCCUGCAGUGAUAGAAACAGUCUCCCCCUCCUCCCUCCCCCUCCACCUGGAACACUCCUGCAGGGAGAGAAACAGUCUCGUCCCCCUCAUCCCGCCACCUGGAACACCUCCUGCAGUGAUAGAAACAGUACUCCCCCUCCUCCCCCCCACCUCCAACCUGAGAACACUCCCUGAAGUGAUAGAAACAGUCUCCCCCUCCGCCCUCCUGCCCCGCCACCUGGAACACUCCUGCAGUGAAUAGAAGCAGUCCUCCCCCCUCCCCCUCCAACCUGGACACUCCUGCAGUGAUAGAAACAGUCCUCCCCCCUCCGCCCGCCCCCUCCCAGCCUGGAACGACUGCUCCGCAGUGAUAGAAAACAGUCCUCCCCCUCCUCCCUCCCUCCAGCCUGGAACACUCCUGCAGUGAUAGAAACAGUCUCACCCUCCCUCCCCCCCCCUCCACCUGGAACACUCCUGCAGUGAUAUAAACAGUCUCCACCUCCUCCCUCCCCUCCAGCCUGGAACACUCCUGCAGUGAUAGAAACAGUCUCCCCCCUCCCCUUCCUCCAAACCUGGAAAACACUUACCAAAUACAGUGAUAGAAAACAGUCUCCACGCCG
rnacentral:lncRNA from 1 species